CUGGUAAAUGACUCAAAUGUAAUGUAAAUGUAAAUGAUAAAACAUGCUAAUUACUUGCUAUAAUAUUUCCUAUAUUAAGAGAUUCAAAUACUGAUACUGUAAUUGUGUGUAAAGAUGUGUAAUGCUUUAUGAGUAUAGCAAAGUUCUACAAAGCUGUGUGGAGCUAUAUGAGUGGUUCUGUUAGUGCAGGGUGUGCUCACUCUUGUGUGAAGGAGGUUUUUGUAUGGCAUCUUAACUAGACUGUCUCAUAGUGGUACACGUUCGGUGGAGGGACCAAACUGCUGCUGAAAACUGGUCCUACUGUCAGUCCCACAGUGUCUCUGCUCCCCCCCUCCUCUGAGCAGCUCUCUGGGGGCUCUGCCACACUGGCCUGCCUGCUGACUGGCUACUCCCCUCAGGGGGCGCUGGUGAGCUGGGAGGUGGACGGGCUGGAGGUGAGCAAGGGGGUCGUGACCAGUCCAGAAGAAGAGAAGGAAGGCCUUUACAGACGCAGCAGCACCUUGACCCUGAGCAAGGCAGGCUGGGAGCAGGGAGAGCUCUACACCUGCAGGGUCUCCCACUUCCAACACACCCAGGCCUCCCCCCUUCGCAGGAGCCAGUGUCUGGGCUAGGGUCUACCGGAGGCCCACAACAGGAGCUCUGUCUGGGGAAGCAGGAGUAGACGAGGCUCUGGUCUGUGCUGGGGCCUGGUUGGAGCAGUAGUAGUGUGUUGGAAUGUUAGAGUAGUGUCCUGAGUAAACUCUAGUACUGUUGGGGAGACCACAUUCUGGGUAGUAAUGUGUAUUGUAUAGAGUAGAGGAGACUUCUAUGUGAUCUGUACUCAGACUGUUACUGUGAUGUUGCUAUCUGCCUCAGUUCUAAUAAAGUUUGAUUUGGAAAAUAA